AGGGGUCCCAGGGCAGGGCUUGGGGGUGCCAAGCCCCAGGCAGCAGCAGUGGCUGUGUCCUGCACAUACUGAGCAGCUGUCCUGUGAGAGGCCUUUGAUUUAUAGAACUUAAUAGCUCAAAAUGCCAAGAAAAUCAAAGGAAAUCCUUCAUGAUAUACUCUGGGGAAGAAGGAAAUGAAACCUCUUCAAUACUGUGGAAGGGCAACCUGAUAUUUUUAUUAUAAUAAUAAUUAUUAUUUUUUAACCAUUAAACAUAUUUCUUCUCUUUUGCUGACUGUGAGCUGUCUUAAUUUUGUGUUUGCUUUUCUGCUGGCUCAUGUGUAUGCUUUUAACGGAAGCACUGCCCCAUUAAAGGCAGCUCCAACAGCUGCCAAGAGAGGCCCAGCCUUGCAAGGCAAUUUCCCUGUCAAUUCCACAUAUGCACCUGUGUGUCAGGGACUGGCAACUUUUUUGGCACUUGGUACAAAGCUAGUGGGUAUUUUCAAACCUACUUUUGAGCCCAGAACUGUCAAGUGAAAAACAAACAAACAAACAAAACAAACAAUCAAACAAAAAAAACAAACCACCUUUUUUUUUUUUCUCCAGGUGGCAAUCACUCAAAUGAGAGGACUACAGAAAUCCAUUCCAAGUUAGACCCAACUCCCUAAAUGUGUUUUUUAUAGGGAUGUACAGCAUUAAAAGGGUCUGUACAACUGCUCUAUUUAAAUUCCCUUUAACUAUUCCCAUCUCUUUUGAUAUUUUUUUGAGAUUUUGUGUGAAAAGAACUCAGUAAACUUAGUCCUGGGAGUCAGUUUACAAGACAUUUUUCCAUUAUCAUUUUCUGUUCCUGUUUCCUCAACUAACCUUCUUUUCCCCAGUAUUUGUACCUCACUUUGUCCAGUCCUUUUGCCAUUGCUCACUGUCUUAGUUAUCUUCUGGUUCUGCGUUCAUCAUCUCCUAUCUUCUCUCAGAAGAAAAAAAACACCACACGAUGCAACUGUCCAAUGUUUGCCAACCCCAGUGGAACAUGACAGAUUACAAAGGAAUUUCUUCCAGAGGAUAUCUUCAAAGGAUGUUCACAGAUGCGUUUUAAAAUAAAUUGGGAGAACAAAACACGACAUUGGCAGCAGUAAGCACUUCAUCUCUUGCCUUAGACUCUAUGAGAACCCACAAUCCUGUACAUGAAGCAAGAGAUGUGCCCAGAAAUGUAGCCAAGGAGCUGCCUAGGCAAUGAGAGACUGAGGUGUGUCUCAAGCUCUUUCACUGGGACAGAGAUCCUUAUUUUGUAAGUGGUAAGGAAUUACAUUCUUCUUUUUAGAAUUCACUUUGUGAAACCAUCCCUUUAGAGUCUGUUAGAUGAGCCAACCUUUCUGAUAAAACCUUUAAGGAACUGAAAAAAUUUGCUGAUACAUACAGGCUUUUCUGCACAUCUAGGUAUCUGUAGAUGCAAAGAAAUAGGUAAUAGCACAAAACUGAGGCAACACUGAUCUGCCCGUUUGUAAGACAAGCCUCAUUUCUGGAGAACAGCUGAGCACUGAGGGAUAGGAAGGCUUGAGAUGACUCCUGGCUGCCAGCAUGGAAGAAAGACAAAGAUUAAACCAUCAUAUGGCUGUGCUCUGCAUCACUGUAGGGCCACCUUUAACUCUAGUAUUAGUAAAAUAGUUUUGGGGAUCUCUGUUUUUGCUUACUAGGACAGGAUAGAUAGCACUUUGAUAUCUAGAUGUUUCAUUCAGUACAUGUUUAAAUCUUCCUGAUGUUGGAUAUGCUGUUAUGUAUUUCUGUCUGAAUGAAGCCAAUGCCUAGAUUUUUGUUUGUUUGUUUUCUUCCAAUGAAGGGAGACUGGAUGAUAGCAGGCUGCAUGAAACAGGACCAAUCAUAUUCUUAUUAGCUCAUUUUGCUAUCUGACAGUAUCAAUCUUAUGCUUUUGACUUUCAUUUCAGACAAAAUAAGCUGCCCUUCCUAGUUACUUGCGUAACUGUGGGUAUGGACAUAAUCUUGUAGGCAACAUCAGAAACUCAGUAUUCACCAGUGCAUUUACUUCUCUGCAAAUUCCCAUUCUGCUUAUAAGAAAAGGUCAGGGUAGUUACCACCGUGUAGUAAGUUAACAAAUACUGAUUUUCUUAAUUGGUGUUGAUUUUUUUCAGAUUUCACCCACAGUAAAUAUAAUUUAUUCUUUGCAAGGAGAAAAAAAUUAAGGCUCUGGGAGGUUAAUGAACUUGUUUGUUCACACUGUUCUAAUAGAUUACAUGCCAGAGUAGGAGCCAAAAACACGAAUUCUGAUUGUGUUCUGAAAUGCACUUGCAAUGUAAGAGUACAGUUCCCUGAGGUUCAUUUUCCCAGACAGACAAUGAACUAUGGGUCUCUUCAUCUGAGGUUAAUUGGACUCUCUGUACCUUUCCUUAAAUUAAAGAAAUGCCCUGAGGAAAUUGAUGCACUAAAUGUGUCUCAAGAACUUCACAUCCAGUUUAAGGUGGAACUCAGACGGGAAAGUGGUGAGUAGAGACCACAAGCUGAACGCAGCUGCAAAGCAGUGCAUAGCAGGUAUGCAGGUAACAUGCAUACAUUCCAGGGAAAAGCAAAAUCACCACCACUCUUAGGAGUUUCUUAUUCCAGAAAAAUCUUGAGGAAAUCCACAUUUUAUACACAGUACAACUAGGGUACUUUCUAGAGCUGCAGACUGAGUUACUCUAAUGAAUUAUUGAUUUUGCAGCUAGAAAGGUCUGCUCACUUCUGGCUGAGAAAAGAGAGGACAGACACCUAAACAGUUUGUGCAGUGUAAUAAAGGGAGCAGGUUCCUGCUGCCCCAGCACUUGCUGGAGUCAACAACUAAUGGGUUGUAUGAAAAAGGAAGUUUUUUUGUUUGUUUGUUUUUAAAGGAUACCUCUGAAACUGGAGGGUUGUUUCAAGCCUAAUUCAUCCUUUCUUAAUCCUGCUUGGAAAAACAUUAGCCUAAACCACCAGCAUGCUCCAGUGCAAACCCUGAGAGAAAACAUGGGCCCCAUGAGAGGGUGCUGUUUUUCCCCAGGGAUCAGAGAGAAUAAUGCUUACUGAACCAUGGGAGUCAACUCUGUAAUAGAUGAGUCUUCUUUCUUCUCUGUGGACAUUUUUAAGUUCCAGGUGUUAUCUUGGACAUACAACUGGGGAGCCAGAAGGCCUUAAAUGCUGAGUAGCCACUGAGUGAGUAGCCAGUGAGUGAGCAGGGCUCACAGUAGUAGCAGUGCACAGUACACAUCUUGUGUAAUCUCCUUCUCCUUGUCUUGGCAAACUGCUUUCAUCUGUAUGUUGUUUUCUUGAAAACGUGGAUGAUGAGAAAAGUAGUAAUCUGUCCUGUCAGACCUAAACCUGUAGGUGCAGGACAUGGGUUUCUGUUGCUUUUAGAAUUCCUUCUUUCGUGUAAAGUUAACUCUGGGUACACAAUCUCCUUGGCACACAAUAAAUGAAAAUAAAACUCAGCUCUUCCUUACACAAGGAGUGCUUUCAGUGUGCUCUUUUGAGACAAUUUGUGGUUCGUGUUGGGUUCCUGAGUUAAUAAUGAUUUCACAAGCAUACUUUCAAAAAAAGCUGACUUUCUCAAAUGUAAAACUGAAGUGUAGAAAGACUUCCUCCACUAGAGUCACACUGCUUCUGUCAGGAUCAUCAAGCUAACCACCAGUCUAGUGAGUCAAUGGUUGCAUUUGGAGCUACACCAUACUGGAACCCCUACAGGACACGCAAGGUGAAAUGCUCUCCUUUUUCCCAGGGUUUUGGUAUGAUAUAUUCUAGACAUAUUUCAGAGCCAAACUGACAUAUUGCUUAAAAUCAAAACCAACAACAAAUAUGUUAGGAAAGAUUUGGUUUCCUGAUGGGAAAAGCAAGACUUUCAGUCAAAGAUGAACUCUAAUACCAUAUAUUAGGGAACAUUGGUGAGGCAUCUCAUCAGAUCUGGUAUGUUCUGUGUAUCUUUGGAAAGUAAGUACUGAAUCAGGUGAGAAGCAAAGCCUUUUAAUAACCUUACAAAUUUGAACCAUCAAGGAAGCAGUUUUUCUUAACAUCUCUGGAAAAAGAAACAACAUCCUUUGAAGUGGAGACAGGUUGGAUUUCAGAAUGAAGCAGUUUCACAGAAUUAGACACCUGCUUAAUUAGAGGAUGAAUGCAAAAUUCUUAAACUUUAAAAGGUUUUAUGAGGCAGCACUUCAGAGAAUAAGCAUUCCUCUAGCAUUGGCAGAAAAGAGCUGCUAGCUA